GAGAUUGAGGCAGCAGACAGCUGCUGCUUUUACAAAGCAUGUAUAUAAUAGAGGCAUCAAGUGUCAAAAAAGUGGGGGAAGGAAAGACGUGAGGGACUUCAGCAAGCUGGGUGGAUAGGGCAGUGAGAAGAGACAGAGAGUGUACUGUCUACAUGAACACACACAUAUGGACAUAAUGCGAGUUGCAGGCAUCCACUCUCAUGUAUAGAGUUAAAGGGACACUAAAU